AGUGAACGCUGGCGGUAGGCCUAACACAUGCAAGUCGAACGGCAGCACAGUAAGAGCUUGCUCUUACGGGUGGCGAGUGGCGGACGGGUGAGGAAUACAUCGGAAUCUACUUUUUCGUGGGGGAUAACGUAGGGAAACUUACGCUAAUACCGCAUACGACCUACGGGUGAAAGCAGGGGAUCUUCGGACCUUGCGCGAUUGAAUGAGCCGAUGUCGGAUUAGCUAGUUGGCGGGGUAAAGGCCCACCAAGGCGAUGAUCCGUAGCUGGUCUGAGAGGAUGAUCAGCCGCACUGGAGCGUAGACACGGUCCAGACUCCUACGGGAGGCAGCAGUGGGGAAUAUUGGACAAUGGGCGCAAGCCUGAUCCAGCCAUACCGCGUGGGUGAAGAAGGCCUUCGGGUUGUAAAGCCCUUUUGUUGGGAAAGAAAAGCAGCAGGUUAAUACCCCGCUGUUCUGACGGUACCCAAAGAAUAAGCACCGGCUAACUUCGUG
rnacentral:rRNA from 1 species